rnacentral:misc_RNA from 1 species
AUUCAAUUUCUUUUAUUUAUCUUUCAUAAUAAAGAAUCCAAAUAAAUGGUUAAGACUCGAACGAUUAUUUGAAAAUGUCUAAAGAGGUCAAAGGGGCCAUUUGCAUUUUUUUUUUUAAUUAUCCCAAUAUUUAAUGGGUUCUAUUGGUUAAGUACUGCCAAUGCCAUCAGACAAAUUAUGUGCCCACACUACAAACAAUUACUCUGCUUUCCGCCUUCCAGCUGGAUUCCACCGACACUACACUUAGCGCAUGCUAGCAUAAUCAACUGUAUUACACUAACUUACGCCUAUGACAUCCUCCCAUUUAGCAUUUCAACUAAUGUCCGUACAUAAUCUUAAGUUUUUGUUGGGUGGCUAGGUGAAAAUAAUCAAAUUAAUAAAACAACCGAACAGAAACAGUGAGAUAUCUAAAUGUUUUCAGCAAACCAAAAUCAACAAAAAUUCAAAUGCAAAAUGUACAUGUGUGAAAAAAAAUUUUCCAAACAGUAACGCACGUGCCACGGAAGAACAGAGAGAAUCCGAGGCAAGAACCCGAGAACGCGCCUCAGAAGUUGGCGAUUUUUCUGUGUGACCGUGAUUUCAGGGAGGCACGUUUAAUCUCUUGCAAGUUCCUGAGGCUUCGAAUGGCCAAAACAUCGCUUCUCCGGACAUCGCUAAGUCCACCGCCGACGCCACUAUUGUCAGUUGAAUCUAAAACAAAAUCACCGCAAGGAUUCAACGCCAAAUGUAAUUUCCUUUUUUGAAAAAAAAAAAUCAAGCUGCAUUAUACCUAUAUGCUUCGAGGAUCUCUUGAAUCCGUUAAACUGAGCCAGAUCUGCAUCAUCAGUACAAAACAAGCUGUAAGGAUCCAGCUAAGAGAUUGGUGAAAAAAGCAAUCGUGAGCAUUGAUUUCUAAUUUUACCAGAUUGAGAUGGACUGUGAGAGACUAGGUAAAGAACGAAGAAGCAGAGGAAAGUGAGAAGCGGAAUAAAAUGAACGAGUUUCUCAGGAUUGGGAGGAGCUGAUGAUAAAGAAAAUGAUGGUGAAGACGAUGAGAAUCGGCGAAAAAGUUUUGUCUCUUUGUGGUGUUCUUCGUCGUUACAAUCAGGAAGUGAAGAGGGAGUUAAGUCUCUUCGUUUAGAAUCAUCUGGCGCUGAGAGAGUGUCGUCUUUGGCUCCUCCACCAUGGCUGUGGUACUUAGAAACUGUCGAGCCCAGAGACUGCCUCUGCAUUGAGAGAGAGAGAGAGAG